rnacentral:rRNA from 1 species
GUGNCUGCCUUUGCUUNCUCCACGUGCUACAUGGACGGUACAAAGAGCUGCAAGACCGCGAGGUGGAGCUAAUCUCAUAAAACCGUUCUCAGUUCGGAUUGUAGGCUGCAACUCGCCUACAUGAAGCUGGGAAUCGCUAGUAAUCGCGGAUCAGCAUGCCGCGGUGGAAUACGUUCCCGGGCCUUGUACACACCGCCCGUCACACCCCGAGAGUUUGUNACACCCGAAAGUCGGUGGGGUAACCUUUUUGGAGCCAGCCCCCUAAGGUGGGGACAGAUGAUUGGGGUGAAGUCGUAACAAGGNAAGCCCGUAUCNGAAGGNGCGGUUGGGAUCACCUCCUAAAAAA